rnacentral:lncRNA from 1 species
CCCGUAGUUCUUUAACCUCUGUCUUUCGGACAUCUGCCACAUGUUCAUGCUCGAUCAGUGUUUUGACACUAGAAUCCGUGGUGACUAUGGCUUUACACGAUUUAUGGUACAUUUGUAAGAUAUGUUGUUAUGUUUCAGGACACUAACCUUCCGAUAUGUACGGCCCUCGAUGACUAAAGAAUUGACUCCUCGGCUCGUUUCAGUGUGUAAUAUGUCCAUCAUGUUACAUCGAAGUUCCAGAACAAUAUGAAUCAAAAGUAAUUUAAACAUAAAUGAACAACAAUUAUAACCAGAUUUUU